rnacentral:rRNA from 1 species
UACGUAGGGUGCAAGCAUUGUCCGGAUUUAUUGGGCGUAAAGAGCUCGUAGGCGGCUUGUCACGUCGGGUGUGAAAACUCGAGGCUCAACCUCGAGCUGUCGGUGGAAACCGUGUGGCUAGAGUCCGGAAGAGGAGAGUGGAAUUCCCGGUGUAGCGGUGAAAUGCGUAGAGAUCGGGAGGAAUACCUAUGGCGAAAGCAGGCUUCUGGGCCAUCACUGACACUGAUCUGCGAAAGCUAGGGGAGCAAACAGG